rnacentral:tRNA from 1 species
UGGGGGGUGGUGUAACUGGCAGCACAGGUGGUUUUGGUCCAUCUAGUACGGGUUCGAGUCCUGUCCCCCCAGCCG